rnacentral:misc_RNA from 1 species
CAUGAGGAGCCCUUCUAAUGACUGACAAAAUAGAAAGGAUAUUUAGUCCAGAAAUUAUAAUUAGGAAAGGCAUUUGUCACCAUAAAAUUAAAUAAGUGCUCAAAGCCUUCAUCAAAAAUUUUAUUAUUAGGAUUUGCAAAGAAGUGGAAAUCAUGAGACCAAAUAAUAUGCAUGCACAGCACAGGCAAAGAAAUAAUAUCUGCAAGAAUCGGAGAAAAUAGAGAAAAUUACUAUUUAGUCUCCGUUUUUUAACGAAACCAACUAGUUUGUUACUGUAUUUUGAAAAAUAAACUAUUUAG